rnacentral:lncRNA from 1 species
AGGCAGCAUCCUCACGAACCAAAGAACGGCAUAAGGGGCCCCUGUUUCCUGAGACCCAGUCAGAGCUCCUAUACUCUCCCACCUUGUUCCUCUGAGCUGACAAAUGACAUCGGAGAGGGGACUAGGUUGGAAGGAAGACAAGGCAUUGCACUCACGCGAGGAGGAUUCAGUCUUGGUCCCUAGGGCGAUGGUGAUGAGGAGGAAGAAGGGAAUGGCAGCCACGGAGAUCUUCAUGCUGUGGGAAGCUGUUGCGGGAGGAGAGCUGGCCUGGUGGGAGCUUCAGAGGCUCCUGCGGUGAGGAAUUGUUGAGAAAUGAUCAUUGAGGCCAAAUAUUUUUUAAAAUAAGGGAGCUGAGACUUGGAAGGGAAGUAGGAAAGCAGUGAUGCCUCAGCAAUGUCAUAUCCUGCACAUGUGUUGUUGGUGGCCUGAAGGAAGCAGGGAGAGCCAAGGUUUAAGGCAGGAAAUGGUCUUCCAUCCCCCAGUGGGAAGAAGUUCAACUCUUUUGAUAGAAGCCUUUCCCUAGGCAUGAACAUGAGCACAGGGCUGGGGGCACUGUCUCACACUUAGCAAAAGAUCUCAAGGCUGGAUGUGUCCUGUAUCCAAUUCCAUCUCAGGCCUUAGAACAGGCCACGUGGGGCCUGGACAUUCAGGAUCUGUUCAUCUGGAGACUAGAGGGUGUUUGGGGUAAUGGAAUGAGGCCAGGACUCCCCCAAGUCAGGUCUCAUUGGUCAAGGGAAAUCCUAACUUAAACUCGAAGCAGAACCCGCAGUUCUCAGUCUCAUCUCCAUUCUGGUCACCACACCAUGGAGUGAAGAAGUGCUGUGGUGCUCAGUAGAUAAUUCACUUAUAUAAUGGUUGCUAUACACACAAGCC